UGCCAUAUAAAAAAUCUGCCCCACUCCAUGAGGACCAUAACCAGAGAGAUUUCGAAAACGAGAAAGUCCGAUAAGAAGAGAGGGUGAGAACCCUAACCCCAAUUCUCUCGAUCGAAUCGAUAGGCCAGGCGAUCUCCACCGAUCCCCCAAAUCCCUGCCGGAUUCUCCCUCCCCUCCUCCGGUCCCGUUCCACUGCCGCCCCCAAGCCCCGUCCUCGGGCAUCACCUUUGCCGCUGCGAAUCCUUCCAUGAGAAGCAAUUCUUGGACGGAAUGAUUUCGGAUAUCGUCGUUCCGCUGGAGAAGGACCUCUCUAUCUCGCCGACGAGCUCCCGUUCUGUGACGGAGACCGUGAACGGCUCCCACAAGUUCGUGAUACAGGGGUACUCCCUUGCCAAGGGCAUGGGGGUCGGGAAGCACAUAGCCAGCGAUACCUUCACGGUGGGAGGGUUCCAGUGGGCGAUCUACUUCUAUCCCGAUGGGAAGAACCCUGAGGACAAUUCGACCUAUGUCUCGGUUUUCAUCGCUCUGGCAAGCGAAGGCACUGACGUCAGGGCACUCUUCGAGCUGACCCUCGUGGACCAGAGCGGGAAGGGGAAGCAUAAGGUCCAUAGCCACUUUGAUCGGUCGCUGGAGAGCGGGCCAUAUACCCUCAAGUACCGGGGGAGCAUGUGGGGUUAUAAGCGAUUUUUCAGACGAACUGCACUUGAGACAUCAGAUUACCUCAAAGAUGAUUGCUUGAAAAUCAAUUGCACUGUUGGUGUUGUGGUGUCAGUUAUGGAUUCACCUAGAUUACACUCGAUACAGGUUCCAGAAUCUGAUAUAGGAAUGCAUUUUGGUAUGCUUCUGGAUAAGCAGGAAGGAUCUGAUGUUGUUUUUGAUGUUGCUGGCGAGAAAUUUCAUGCUCAUAAAUUGGUGUUAGCUGCUCGAUCCCCUGUGUUUAGAGCUCAAUUUUUUGAUGAAUUGGAUUGUGAAAAGAAUGAGAUUGUUGUUACAGAUAUGGAGCCUAAGGUUUUUGAGGCAAUGCUGCAUUUUAUAUAUAGAGAUACCUUUGUUGAAGAUGAUGCAUUGAUCGCAUCAAGUUCUCCUGUUUCUUCUGUGUCCGACACUUUGGCUGGAAAAUUAUUAGCUGCAGCAGAUAAGUAUGGCUUGGAAAGGCUUCAAUUGAUGUGCGAGUCUUAUCUUUGCAAAGAUAUAUCUGUGAAUUCAGUUGCUAGCACCCUUGCAUUGGCUGAUCGACAUCAUGCUAUGGAACUUAAGGCUGCUUGUCUUAAAUUUGCUGCAGAGAACCUUGCAGGUAGAUAUGGUGGGUGGAUAUAAUCUUUUUUGGGAAGGCAGGUUGUUUUGGAGUAUCAGGUCCUACUAUGGACGGAUGGGCACGUCAUGAUAGAAGGUCAACUUGGAGGUGCUACAUUACUAACACAGGCAGUUUCAGAGUGCAAAGACAUUUGAUAUAGUCUUGACAGCUAGAUGCCUUCAUUAUUAGAUGUUUUUGAGGGCCUCCAUGUCUGUGAUGCGCUCAAAUGGAUUCCAGUAUCUUAAAGACAAUUGCCCGUCACUGCAGUCAGAACUCCUGAAGAUCAUUGCAGGUUGUGAAGAGGAAUGUAGCAGCGGUGGAAAGAGCCGGAGUGUGUGGGCCCAGCUCUCAGAUGGUGGUGAUUCCAAUGGCCGGAGGGUAAGGCCUAGGACUUGAUCCAGAAUGAAUGCUCAGCUACUGAUUUGUAAAUGACAGCAAUAUUUGUCGAGAAAAGGGAAGAGAAACGACAUUAGCUCUGUUGUUUCUGUUUUAGUGUGUUCCAUGGAUAAUUGUUUAAUGGCAUGAAUUGUAGGUCUUUUAGUAGGAGGAAAUUUAAAGAUAGAACUAUCGGUAGUGCAUUACCGAACAGAGGCUUGCUGUCUAUAUGACAAGAAGCAAGGUAAACCCAAUGAAAUUCUCCUGACUGUGACUCGCACAACACACUGUAAAACUGCAAAUUGUUCAUUUAUUUGAGGUUUUCUUUGCUUGUUUCUUUGUAGCAAA